GAGUGAAUGUGAAGGACUGGGAUAUUAUUGUCCACUACUGUAGACUUUAUAAACACAGUACACUUAGGCUACACUGUUUAUUUUUAAAAUAAAGUAAUUGAGCUACAACAUGACAAUGGCUACAGCGUCACUAGGUGAUAGGAAUUUUUCAGCCCCAUUAUAAUCUUAUGGGACCACCUUCAUACAUACAGUCGGUUUUUGACUGAAACAUCAUUACAUUCAGCACGUGAAUGUAAUUGCGAUGAAGUGAAAGAUAAAGGUUAUAGUUCUAGUGUAUCCACAGUGCUUUAGGAGAUGAACUGUUAGGGAAAGCCAGAAAAAUCUCCACCACGGAAAAAAUAUUUGGCCUGCGUCUUGAAGGAUAAAUAGGAAGUCAGUACUCAGACAGGUGCCAGUGUUUUUCAGCCUGAGGCAGGGAGGUAUGAGAGACAGCUGGAAGGGUUUGAGAAUGGGUGGUGAGAACUUACACUUACUGGGGACUGGAUAUAAGAAUGCAGUAAGACGUGGACCUAGCACCGUGAUUUUUCGACCUGGGCUACACAUCAGAAACACCUAGCGAGCUUUUAAAUCUUCCAGGGCCCAAACCACAUUGUGAACCAAUUAAAUCAGGACGUCUGGGGCUAGAAGCCAGUCAUCAGUAUCUUUUUUUAAGCUCCCAAAGUGAUUCCAAUGUGCUGCCAAGUCUCAGAACCACUAGUCUAGAAAGGAGGGAUAAGGAUUUUCAGCAGCCCCCACAGAACCGGCCCUCCUGGUGACCCUGCAAUCCUGGCACACACACCCCACCCCGCCUGGGAGAAAGACCGGCCACACCACAGUCAUCGGCUGUUUCCUGCUGCUCCUUUCCUCCCACCAGCAUUUUACUCUGAAAUAGUGGUUCUCAAAGUGUGGUCUCCAGACUGUAGCAUCAGCCUCAGGGGGAAAUUCUUAAAAAUGCAAAUUUCCCAGCCGCACCCUGGACGCAUUCACCCAAAAACUCUGGGAGUGGAGCCCAGCAACUGAGCCAUGCUAAGGUUGGUGAGCCGCUGCUCUGGAACAUUGAUCCCUCCCAAACUGCAGCAAAGCAAGCACCUGGGUGUAGCUCUGGCUGUGUAGGUGCUACUACAAUCUGCUGGAGUCACUGCUUGUCGGCAGAGAUGCCGUGGGAGCUGGCCUGGGUGCCUCCACGUUGGCCGUCACCACCAGGCAGUGGCCUUUGGCCUGGAAUCGAAGGUACCAGAGGGCUGAUAGCUCAGUUUUUUUAUGGCACCAAGAAAAGACUUUCAGAUUGGAGAAUAACCGGGACUUUCUUGCAGCCGGAACCAGCCACGUCCUGAUUCCACACUCCCUUGAGGAGCCAGCCAGCUCCACAUUUACUCAAAGAAUCCGAAGGGCACCAAGUGGAUGCUCUGCCACACGAUUGAAGAGGGCAAGCUGUCUGGGGGGUUUUCCACCUCUUUUCAACUCAACUAUUCUGAGCUGAAGUACUGGACCCGUUUUGUUUUUCCUGUUUUUUCCUGCUUCGGUAAAUCUGGAAAAAUCCUGCAGGUCUGAAAAACUGUUGGACUUGACAGCGUGUGUGUAGCGCCACCUGGUGACCACAGCUUAUCAAAACAGCUUCCUUCUGGGGCUCUUGUGGAUGUACAUCAAAGGCUCCAGCUUCCAGACAGGUACACAUCCUGUUCUCACGCCCGGCCCACUUUCCCGUGGGAAUGUCAGCCACUCUGAUUUGCCUUGGCUGAAAACCUCCUGUCUUUGCAUGGAAAAAAACACAAAUAAUAUGAACAAGCAACAGAGUUUUCUUUCUCUCUUAAGUAACCAAGCAUUUAAAAUCUUCUAAAGCACACAUUUCCCUAAUUGAGAAAGGAAGCAGAAGAAAAAUUUCUGGCUGAAAUUAUAAAUCAUAAUAAAUGGUCGGAAAUACCUUCUCCCUUAGAUUCCUGGGGUCCUAGUGUAGAGGAGACUUCAGUUGCCCUUGACACUACAACAUCCUGACUAAAAGCCUGUUUCCAAGGUGAUAUUUGAUAGACAUGAAGGACCCAGGUGGAAAAGAAGGUAGUCUGGACGGCACGGCAAGGAGUGGAACACGCAGGCUAUGAGGUGUCAGCAGAAAUCAGUUCUGGUCCUGGCACUGCUACCAACUUGCUGUGUGACCUUGGGAAGUUACUUAAGCUUUGUGGAUCUCAAUGCCCCAGACUCGUUAACUUCUUUACUAUUUUUUCCCAUAAAUUCAGUGUUUCUGAAAGAUGUUGCCCACCAGAAUGCAUCUCUAAAAUAGGAGCUUAAUAAGCUUUCUGUCUUGAGGGAUCAGACGUAUAAAUGUCAGGCAGGCCUUCUGAUGAUCAUGAUGCAACCAGAGUUACCACAGUGAGUCCAUAUCACAGACAAAGGCGAAGACACUUGAUCCCUUCUUAACCUGGUCUCCCACCCAUGAAUGAUUUUUGUUAGGAUUUCAGCAUGUUGAAACUAACCCACAGACCCUAGUUACAACUUUCUCAGGGCCUGAGAGCUGGGGAAUCCCAGUUUGGGAACCAAAAAACUAGAAAAUCUUGAGGGCAACUCUGGCUGUCAUGAACUAAAACAGAGCAAAGAUGGAAGCCUGUGGUAUGUGCGUGCAGGUAGAAUCUCGAUUUGAGAAAUGGCGUUACAAGGAAUUAACACUUCAGAAAUGCCAGCUCUGUGCCAGGAUUUUUUUAUUUUAUUAUGUAUAUUUGUCAUGGACAACAUGUUUUGGAAUAUGUAUACAUUGUGGAAUGGUUAAAUAAAGCUAAUUACAUAUGCAUGUGCUCACAAAGUUAUCAUUUUAGGGGUGACUUAAAAUCUCUCAGUGAUUUUCAAAAAUAUAUGUUAUUAAUCAUAGUUGCAAUGUUGUACAAUAGAUCUCUUGAACAUAUAUUCCUCUUGUCUAACUGAAAUUUUAUGUUCUUUGACCAUCUCCCCAACUGCCCCCCAACAAGCCUGAAAGCCCUGGUAACCCCUAUUCUACUCUCUACUUCUUUGAGUUCAACUUUUUAAGAGUCCACAUAUGAGAUCAUGCAGUAUUUGUCUUUCUGUGCCUGACUUAUUUCACUUAGCACAAUGUCCUUUGGGUUCAUCUAUGUCACAAGCAACAGGAUGUCCUCCUUUUUAAAAGACUGAAUAGUAUUC
rnacentral:lncRNA from 1 species